rnacentral:rRNA from 1 species
UAUAAGAGGUCCAGCCUGCCCAGUGACCACAAGUUUAACGGCCGCGGUAUUUUAACCGUGCAAAGGUAGCGCAAUCACUUGUCCUUUAAAUAAGGACCUGUAUGAACGGCUAAACGAGGGCUUAGCUGUCUCCCAUUUUAAGUCAGUGAAAUUGAUUUAUCCGUGCAGAAGCGGAUAUAAAUAUACAAGACGAGAAGACCCUUUGGAGCUUAAGGCACAGUACUUAAUCACGUCAAACAACUCAAUAAAAAGCAAUUUGAACUUUGUGGCCGUAAGAAUACUGCCUUCGGUUGGGGCGACCAUGGAGAAAAAGGAAUCCUCCAAGUGGGCUGGGCUAAUUUCCCCUCCCCUAAAACUAAGAGAGACAUCUCUAAGACGCAGAAUAUCUGACCAUAAAUGAUCCGGCUAACCAAGACCGAUCAACGAACCAAGUUACCCUAGGGAUAACAGCGCAAUCCUCUCCAAGAGACCCUAUCGACAAGAGGGUUUACGACCUCGAUGUUGGAUCAGGACAUCCUAAUGGUGCAGCCGCUAUUAAGGGUUCGUUUGUUCAACGAUUAAAGUCCUACGUGA